rnacentral:rRNA from 1 species
CAUAAUAACUUCUCGAAUACGCAUGGCCUUGUUGCCGGCGAUGCAUCAUUCAAAUAUCUGCCCUAUCAACUUUCGAUGGUAGGAUAGUGGCCUACCAUGGUUUUAACGGGUAACGGGGAAUAAGGGUUCGAUUCCGGAGAGGGAGCCUGAGAAACGGCUACCACAUCCAAGGAAGGCAGCAGGCGCGCAAAUUACCCAAUCCCAAUUCGGGGAGGUAGUGACAAUAAAUAACAAUAUAGGGCUCUUUUGGGUCUUAUAAUUGGAAUGAGUACAAUUUAAAUCUCUUAACGAGGAACAAUUGGAGGGCAAGUCUGGUGCCAGCAGCCGCGGUAAUUCCAGCUCCAAUAGCGUAUAUUAAAGUUGUUGCAGUUAAAAAGCUCGUAGUCGAAUUUUAGGCCUGGUUGGACGGUCUGCUCUAGGGUUUGUACUGUCCUGACUGGGUCUUACCUUCUGGUGAGCUGUCGUAUUGUUUACUCAGUGCGGCAGGGAACCAGGACUUUUACUUUGAAAAAAUUAGAGUGUUUAAAGCAGGCAUUCGCUUGAAUACAUUAGCAUGGAAUAAUAGAAUAGGACUUUGGUUCUAUUGUGGUUUCUAGGACCGAAGUAAUGAUUAAUAGGGAUAGUUGGGGGCAUUAGUUAUUUAAUUGUCCAGAGGUGAAAAUUCUUGGGAUUUAUUAAAGACUUAACUUUCUUGGGAAAAGCAUUUGGCCAAGGGAUGUUUUCCAUUUAAUUCCAAGGAACGAAAAGUUUUAGGGGGGA